CUGAGCUCGACGAGCUCGAAAAGGAGAUAGAGAGGCUAAAAGAGGAGCUGGGAUUUAACUCUCAGCAAUAAAGCAAACAAAGUCGUUUUCGUCGUACUUAAGCUUUCUUCUCCUUAUUUCU
rnacentral:sRNA from 1 species